rnacentral:rRNA from 1 species
AAACAAGUAUUAAAGGUCCCGCCUGCCCAGUGAAACAUUUUUAACGGCCGCGGUAUCCUAACCGUGCAAAGGUAGCGUAAUCACUUGUCUUCUAAAUAAAGACUAGUAUGAACGGCUAAAUGAGGACAAAACUGUCUCUUGCAGCUAAUCAGUGAAACUGAUCUCCCAGUACAAAAGCUGGGAUAAACCCAUAAGACGAGAAGACCCUGUGGAGCUUUAAACCCGCCGCUAACACCCAUUAACAACAAUGUACCUAGCCUAAGGUUUUAAGUUGGGGCGACUUCGGAACAAAAUAAAACUUCCGAGCACAGAACCACCACUUCUCACUAAGGCCAACAAGCCAAAGAAAAACCCGACCCAGUCACACUGAUCAACGAACCAAGUUACCCCAGGGAUAACAGCGCUAUCUUCUUCAAGAGUCCCUAUCGACAAGAAGGUUUACGACCUCGAUGUUGGAUCAGGACACCCAAAUGGUGCAGCCGCUAUUAAAGGUUCGUUUGUUCAACGAUUCACAG